rnacentral:misc_RNA from 1 species
GAUGAAGAACGUAGCGAAAUGCGAUAAGUAAUGUGAAUUGCAGAAUUCAGUGAAUCAUCGAAUCUUUGAACGCACCUUGCACCCUUUGGCAUUCCGAAGGGUAUGCUCGUUUGAGUGUCAUUGUACUCUCACACUUCCGAUCUUUGGAUUGGGAGCGGUGGACUUGGGUGUUGCUGCUUACUGUGGCUCACCUCAAAUCGAUUCGUGCACCUCUUGGUUGGACAUAGUACGGCGUGAUAAGUGUCUUCGCCGGCACCUCAGUAGAGGGUGGCUGAUCAGGAGCUCUGUGCUUCAAACCGUCCUCGGACAACAACUGACAACUUGACCUCAAAUCGAGUAGGACUACCCGCUGAACUUAAGCAUAUCAAUAAGCGGAGGA